rnacentral:misc_RNA from 1 species
GUGAAUCAUCAAAUUUUUGAGCGCAAAUUGCACUCUCUGGUAUUCCGGAGAGCAUGCCUGUUUGAGGGUCAGUUUAAAUAAAAAUCGGUGUGGGUGCUGCCUUUCGUGGUGACGCACCGGAUGUGGGUCGUCUUGCCUUCGGGUAAGUAACCUAACAUUUUGCAUGAUUUUUUUGUAACGGAAUUAAGUGAUGUUACGUACGUUUGCGAUAUCGAAUACGAGGGUUGUUCAUCUUCAUGA